rnacentral:rRNA from 1 species
GUAGGUGAACCUGCGGAAGGAUCAUUAAAGAGUAAGGGUCUCUGGCCCGAACCUCCAACCCUCUGUUGUUAAAACUACCUUGUUGCUUUGGCGGGACCGUUCGGUCUCGAGCGCGCCGGUCUUCGGAUUGGCGAGCGCCCGCCAGAGUCCAACCAAACUCUUGUAUUAAACCAGUCGUCUGAGUAUAAAAUUUUAAUUUAAUUAAAACUUUCAACAACGGAUCUCUUGGUUCUCGCAUCGAUGAAGAACGCAGCGAAAUGCGAUAAGUAAUGUGAAUUGCAGAAUUCAGUGAAUCAUCGAAUCUUUGAACGCACAUUGCGCCCCUUGGUAUUCCGAGGGGCAUGCCUGUUCGAGCGUCAUUACACCACUCAAGCACUGCUUGGUAUUGGGCAUCGUCCGUCGAAAGACGGGCGUGCCUCGAAGACCUCGGCGGGGCCUAACCGGCUUCGGGCGUAGUAGAGUUAAAUCGAACGUCUUAUGAGUCUGGUUAGAACCCAUUGCCGUAAAACCUUUUAUUUUCUAGGUUGACCUCGGAUCAGGUAGGGAUACCCGCUGAACUUAAGCAUAUCAAUAAGCGGAGGAAAAGAAACCAACAGGGAUUGCCCUAGUAACGGCGAGUGAAGCGGCAAUAGCUCAAAUUUGAAAGCUGGCCUCUGGUCCGCAUUGUAAUUUGUAGAGGAUGCUUUUAGGCAGCCGCCGGUCUAAGUUCCUUGGAACAGGACGUCAUAGAGGGUGAGAAUCCCGUA